AUGUUACCAGUGUUACAGGUGCUGUGGAGUGGGAAGGGGCUGCAUGUGAAACUGAGCUGUGAAAUGGGGAAGGACACCCUUUUGUAGACCCUGUUCGUACUGUCCACUCUUACAAGUGUGGCUGAUUUUUCUCCCUGGUGCCUCCUUCUCCUCCCCUCCCCCGUUUUUGCCUCCCCCCCCUUUUCAUCAUCGCCAUCUGGGUCCUCCUGCUUGGCACCCAACCAAGUAGAUGCCGCCACACUUGGCAGUGUUGCACUGGCAUGUGACCAGUGACUCAGAUUCUGGCACUGCGGCAAACCCAAAGCCUCCAAACUUGCUCACGAUACCGCUUGGCGGCCAUGAGGGAAGAGGGGUCAUGUGCAUAGAAGUGCCAGGCGCUGGGUGGAGCUCCAUGGUGGGAAGUGGCGUGUGAAGCUGCCCUUCACAGAUGGAUGGAAGCCAGUAUUCACUAGAACAUCUCUCCUCCACUCUUCUCCAAACAACUCCUCCCUUCCCUAAUUCUGAGAAGGGGCUUAGAUGGCGCUACACUGGUUUUGAGCAGCUAUGCAAAGGGAUCUAGAGCAAGGAGGGAGAAGGACACCAUUUACAGCCACCGCUGGAACAGUGGGUGUGUACUUCUCUGGGCAGUUAGGACAGAAAAAGACUGGAGUGUGAAAAGGCCUGGAGAGACACUUGGCAGCUAUGCUGCCCCUCAGCCAGUACCAGAGAGAGUGAAGGAGAGACCUUCAAGCUUUGCUGGCAAAGGUCGCUAGCCACCCAUCUGUAAGAGCUGAAGGAAAGCUUGGCUUCUGGUAAAGUCAAAGGCUCUCA